GGCCACGUGGCGAAGUCAGUCAACGCGGAAGUCUGCAAAACUUCUAUGCGCCGGUGCAACUCCGGCCGUGGCCU
rnacentral:tRNA from 1 species